rnacentral:rRNA from 1 species
AGAGUUUGAUCNUGGCUCAGGAUUAACGCUAGCGGCAGGCCUAAUACAUGCAAGUCGAACGGGAUUUCGGGUAGCAAUAUCUGAAUGAGAGUGGCGCACGGGUGCGUAACGCGUAUGCAAUCUACCUUUAACUGGGGAAUAGCCCUCCGAAAGGAGGAUUAACACCGCAUAAUACUACGAUGGGGCAUCUCAAUGUAGUCAAAACUCAGGUGGUUAAAGAUGAGCAUGCGUCCGAUUAGCUAGUUGGUGAGGUAAUGGCUCACCAAGGCGACGAUCGGUAGGGGGUCUGAGAGGAUGAUCCCCCACACUGGUACUGAGACACGGACCAGACUCCUACGGGAGGCAGCAGUAAGGAAUAUUGGACAAUGGGCGCAAGCCUGAUCCAGCUAUGCCGCGUGAAGGAUAACGGCCCUAUGGGUUGUAAACUUCUUUUAGCAGGGAAAAAACCCCCCGAUGCGUUGGGGGCUGAUGGUACCUGCAGAACAAGGAUCGGCUAACUCCGUGCCAGCAGCCGCGGUAAUACGGAGGAUCCAAGCAUUAUCCGGAUUUAUUGGGUUUAAAGGGUGCGUAGGCGGAUGAAUAAGUCAGUGGUGAAAGCCUGCAGCUUAACUGUAGAAUUGCCAUUGAUACUGUUUAUCUUGAAUGUAGUUGAGGUGGGCGGAAUAUGACAUGUAGUGGUGAAAUACUUAGAUAUGUCAUAGAACACCGAUUGCGAAGGCAGCUCACUAAGCUAUAAUUGACGCUGAGGCACGAAAGCGUGGGGAGCAAACAGGAUUAGAUACCCUGGUAGUCCACGCCCUAAACUAUGAUCACUCGAUGUUGGCGAUACACAGUCAGCGUCU